CAUUGAAUCUAGGAGGCAAAGGUUGCAGUGAGGCAAGAUCACGCCACUGCACUCUAGCCUGGGCCACGGAGUGAGACUCCAUCUCAAAAUAAAGAAAAAAAAAUUGUAAGCAGAGGGUAAUUAAUAGAGGCAGACUUCACAUCUGUCCUGUGGGCUUCUUUUCCAGAGUUCCAUAUCCAGACUUUCAAACCAUGUUCUGGGGUCAUCCAAACAUUCCAUCCUCCUGACUCCAUAAACAGCUGGAUUCAUAACCCGCUCCAUACUUGAAAACGUGGGGAUUGGAAUUCGGGCUCUUUGUUCUGGUAAGCAUGUGACUGACUACAGCUGUCAACAUGGGCACCUCCGAAGUUACCUCGCAAAAACAAAGGUGUUUUGCAGUAUCAUGCUUCUUUUACAAUUUCCUGGGUCUCUAUUGAAGAAAAGAAAGGUAAGGAAUUACCUACAAACCUGGUGCUAUUUUUA
rnacentral:lncRNA from 1 species